rnacentral:rRNA from 1 species
UAUGUGAUCGUCUCUCGCAUAUCAAUAAGCGGAGGAAAAGGAAACUAACAAGGAUUCCCCUAGUAACGGCGAGUGAAGCGGGAAGAGCUCAAAUUUGAAAUCUUAAAGGGUUUCCCUUUACGAAUUGUAGUUUAAAGAAGUGUUUUCUGUUGAGGUUUUGGUAAAAGUUCUUUGGAAUAGGACAUCAUAGAGGGUGAGAAUCCCGUAUUUGACCUUUACUUUCAACUUUGUGAUACACUUUCAAAGAGUCGGAUUGUUUGGGAAUGCAGUCCAAAAUGGGUGGUAAAUUUCAUCUAAAGCUAAAUAUUGGCGAGAGACCGAUAGCGAACAAGUACCGUGAGGGAAAGAUGAAAAGAACUUUGAAAAGAGAGUUAAACAGUACGUGAAGUUGUCAAAAGGGAAGCGUUUGACACCAGUGUUGUUUUUCUGAAAAUCAAUUAAAGAACUGUUUAUGCUAAGCUGUUUAGACUUUAUCAGCUAUCUGUUUAGUUUUGAGCUUUUCUUUAAUGCACUUUUCAGUUAACAAGUCAACAUCAAUUUCUUUUGCUGUAAAAAAGCUUGAGGAAGGUGGCUUGAGAUUCGUCUUAAGUGUUUAUAGCCUCUUGCCUAUGCAGUCGGAGAGAUUGAGGUCUGCAGCGUAGAUCCUUCGGGGCUAAAUGCAUUUGUGCUAAGUUAUAGCAUUUUAUAGACAACUUGUUGACUAUGAUUUGUCUUGUAGCUUACUCGCUUAUGUUAUUUUACCUACGCUUAGGAUGUUGAUAUGCAUGACUGAUAU